GAGUUCAGACUCGCGGCGCAUAGCUCAGUAACACGUGGCCAAGCUACCCUUCAGUCAGCGAUACCCUCGGGAAACUGAGGUUAACAGCUGAUACAAAACGCCAGCUGGAAUGCGGCGUUUCAGAAAGAGAUCGCUGAAGGAUGCGGCUGCGGCCGAUUAGGUAGACGGUGGGGUAACGGCCCACCGUGCCAGUAAUCGGUACGGGUGAUGAGAGUCAGAGCCCGGAGACGGUAUCUGAGACAAGAUACCGGGCCCUACGGGGCGCAGCAGGCGCGAAACCUUUACACUGCACGACAGUGCGAUAGGGGGAUUCCGAGUGCGAGGGCAUACAGUCCUCGCUUUUCUGGAUCGUAAGGAGAUGCAAGAAUAAGGGCUGGGCAAGACCGGUGCCAGCCGCCGCGGUAAUACCGGCAGCCCGAGUGAUGGCCGAUAUUAUUGGGCCUAAAGCGUUCGUAGCCGGCCAGUCAAGUCUGUUGGGAAAUCCACGCGCUCAACGCGUGGGCGUCCAGCGGAAACUGACUGGCUUGGGGCCGGAGGACUCGAGGGGUACGUCCGGGGUAGGAGUGAAAUCCCGUAAUCCUGGACGGACCACCGGUGGCGAAAGCGCCUCGAGAGGACGGACCCGACGGUGAGGAACGAAAGCCAGGGUCUCGAACCGGAUUAGAUACCCGGGUAGUCCUGGCCGUAAACAAUGUCUGCUAGGUGUGGCGCAGGCUACGAGCCUGCGCUGUGCCGCAGGGAAGCCGUGAAGCAGACCGCCUGGGAAGUACGUCCGCAAGGAUGAAACUUAAAGGAAUUGGCGGGGGAGCACUACAACCGGAGGAGCCUGCGGUUUAAUUGGACUCAACGCCGGACAUCUCACCGGCACCGACAACAGUAAUGACGGUCAGGUUGAUGACCUUACUCGAGCUGUUGAGAGGAGGUGCAUGGCCGCCGUCAGCUCGUACCGUGAGGCGUCCUGUUAAGUCAGGCAACGAGCGAGACCCGCAUCCUUAGUUGCCAGCAACACCAUUGGUGGUUGGGUACACUAGGGAGACUGCCGCUGCUAAAGCGGAGGAAGGAACGGGCAACGGUAGGUCAGUAUGCCCCGAAUGUGCCGGGCAACACGCGGGCUACAAUGGCCGGGACAAUGGGAUGCUAUCCCGAGAGGGAACGCUAAUCCCCUAAACCCGGUCGUAGUUCGGAUUGAGGGCUGCAACCCGCCCUCAUGAAGCUGGAUUCGGUAGUAGUCGCGUGUCAGUAGCGCGCGGCGAAUACGUCCCUGCUCCUUGUACACACCGCCCGUCA
rnacentral:rRNA from 1 species